rnacentral:rRNA from 1 species
UUACCCACUCCCGGCACGGGGAGGUAGUGACGAAAAAUAACGAUACGGGACUCAUCCGAGGCCCCGUAAUCGGAAUGAGUACACUCUAAACCCUUUAACGAGGAUCAAUUGGAGGGCAAGUCUGGUGCCAGCAGCCGCGGUAAUUCCAGCUCCAAUAGCGUAUAUUAAAGUUGUUGCGGUUAAAAAGCUCGUAGUCGAAUUUGUGUCUCGUGCCGCCGGUUCAUCGUCCGCGGUGUUAACUGGCGAGUCGCGAGACGUCCUGCCGGUGGGCUUAGCUCGCAAGGGCGGCCCAACUCAAUCCUGCCGCGGUGCUCUUCGUUGAGUGUCGAGGUGGGCCGGCACGUUUACUUUGAACAAAUUAGAGUGCUUAAAGCAGGCUAAAACUUCGCCUGAAUACUGUGUGCAUGGAAUAAUGGAAUAGGACCUCGUUUCUAUUUUGUUGGUUUUCGGAACUCCGAGGUAAUGAUUAAUAGGAACGGAUGGGGGCAUUCGUAUUGCGACGUUAGAGGUGAAAUUCUUGGAUCGUCGCAAGACGGACAGAAGCGAAAGCAUUUGCCAAAAACGCUUUCAUUGAUCAAGAACGAAAGUUAGAGGUUCGAAGGCGAUCAGAUACCGCCCUAGUUCUAACCUUAAACGAUGCCAGCUAGCGAUCCGUCGAAGUUCCUCCGAUGACUCGACGGGCAGCUUCCGGGAAACCAAAGCUUUUGGGUUCCGGGGGAAGUAUGGUUGCAAAGCUGAAACUUAAAGGAAUUGACGGAAGGGCACCACCAGGAGUGGAGCCUGCGGCUUAAUUUGACUCAACACGGGAAACCUCACCAGGCCCGGACACCGGAAGGAUUGACAGAUUGAGAGCUCUUUCUUGAUUCGGUGGGUGGUGGUGCAUGGCCGUUCUUAGUUGGUGGAGCGAUUUGUCUGGUUAAUUCCGAUAACGAACGAGACUCUAGCCUGCUAACUAGGCGUAUUUUGACAUCCUAAAGGCCCGCCGGCUCGGGG